AAAACUAAAAUGACCAAAAUAGCAUUUUAUCUUUUGAAAAACUUAUUUGAAAUCUUAUCCCAAAACUCCAUUCCCCAACUAUGAACCCUAAAACCUAAACUCUAAACCCUAAACUCUAAACCCUAAAUCCUAAACCCCACCCCUUAACUCUAAACUCUAAACCCCACCCCUUAACUCUAAACUCUAAACCCUAAACCCUAAACCCUAAACCCUAAACCCUAAACCCUAAAUCCUAAACUCCACUCCUUAACUCUAAACCCUAAUGUAUAAAUUAAUUUACCAUAGGAGUAUAAGUGUAUAUUUAUCUCUUUUGAUAAAACAUUAAAUGUUAUUUUGGUCAUUUUUAUUCUUAGAGACUAUUUGUGAUAAAAACUUUUUAAGUGCUAUCCUAGUCAUUUUCUCAAAAAAAAAAAUAUUAAAUCUAAUGCACACAACUUAAAAAAAAUAAAAAAAAGAAAAAAACAAGAAGAAAGCUUUAAACUAGACAAAAGACAUAAAAACAUGCCUGGAUAUUUGUGUCCCCUGCAAGUCCAAUAAGCUUGGCCAAACCAGCCUGCACACCAAAAAAAAAGGGUUAUGAUUGAGACAACUAAAACGGAUUCCAGAAACAGAACUAAAAGCUUUAAACCCAAAGCGACAAUUGAAGAUUCAAAAUGUUACCUUGUUGACGGCACUGCAGACGAAUUUGCAUCCCAAAACGAUGUUGCUGAGCAAAAUGGUGAAAUCCCCACGAGACUCUGGAUACUUUGAUUGCUCAUUCAGCACGAAUCUUCGUGAUCCAUCUUUCUUUCUCGCUCUCCCCGUUAUGAUCAGCGGAUACCUUUUUAAUCAGAUGUUUAGAAGAUAUUAUAUAUAUAACCUGCAUUCAGUCGAGAAAAGAGUGUACAUAUAUAUAUAUAUAUAUAUAUAUAUAUAUAUAUAUAUAAUAGAGAUGUCUCUCUCUUUAUAAAUGUUUAGAAGAUAUUAUAUAUAUAACCUGCAUUCAGUCGAGAAAAGAGUGUACAUAUAUAUAUAUAUAUAUAUAUAUAUAUCUAUAUAUAUAAUGGAGAGUUGUCUCUCUCCUUAGACUAUCCAGCUCAGCAAAGAGGGAGGGACGUUUUCCGCCACGUGACAUUCCAAUAUUUAACUUGAAAAUCUAUUACACUGAACUUUUGUUACGCGGACCCGAAACUUGAAACCUUGCAGUCCAUUGGGCUGCCCUUUGCAAUUUAUUGACCUAAAAGGAGCCGCUGCGACCGUUGGUUUAUACAACACCGACGGCCUUAGGCUAUCAUUCAAUCGCCCAAUAAUGAUCGCAUUUACGUCAUCUCCCCACUUCCUCCACUCUCUCACAUUCAAUAGCCCUCUCACUCCUCUUAGUAACGGAGGAGUCCUUCUAUAAAUAACAUUGCAGUCUAGGAUGGAACUCAUCACUCGCACCAAAUCAAUAGCAUUCUCUUAAAAACCCAGAUUCCAUCGAUGGAAUUUCUCACCUAUUGUUCUUCGAUUUGAAAGUUCGUCGUUCUACUAAGGCUGUGGAGGUGUUACUGCUUAGGUUCUGGGAGGCACCUAAUGUGACGAAAGGAGGAGAGCUCCAGGGAAUGGACAUGAUCAUCCUCGAUGAACAGGUAACUCCGGAGAACAUAUGAUAAAUUGCUCCUGCCAAGCUCUUGAUUUUACGUUUCUCUUUUCCAACAGGUAAAGCUUGGUCAACGCCCCACCAAUUGAACACUUUUAGACACCUACUAAGGAAGGUUCAAUGUACUCGAUAACUGGGAUAAUUGGGUUGGCGUUACAUGAACAAACCAUAACUUCAAACUCUCCAACUCCCCGAUCUCCAUACACUUCGAUGAGCAACCCACGUUCAAAAAUAUUCAGUUGCGGGCGCUGCCAAGCUGCUCCCAGGAACUUAGGCCCUGCCAAUUCACAUGAACCAUGUAUAAAGGCAGUGAAAUUUAAUAUUUUGAGAUGUCUAAACACAAAACAAUCAGCGUACAGUUGGAACCUAAAGUGAAACAUGAGUAUAAACUGACAGAUACAUUUGAAAAGUGGUCUGCAUAUGGAAAAUUAGACUAGACAGUAAGUAUAUUACUCCAUCGAAAGUGUAAUGUUUAUAGUCCUAGAAUGUGCAUUAUGAGUGUAAUAUAUCUGGACAUCCAUUAACAUCAUAUGAACAUCUAUAUAACAUCGACAAUUUGACAUCUAAGUUUGUUGGACAUAGUAGUCAAGAAUUUACAAAUCAUAAAUUAUGCUUUCUUGGCAACACAUGCCACCUCAAAACAAUAAUGAUCUGUAUACGAAAGCAUCAGAUCAAGUCUCACUAUUCACAUUGUGAACUAAAUUUUGUGGUGAAGCAGCAAUUAAUCGGAGAAAAAGUACAUCACUUGAUGACCACAGCGUUUGAAAGAACAUAACCAUAAUUGUCACAAAUGCAAUGACAACAACCAAAGAUUGGCCUACCCUGUAACUACAUUCACGAAACAGCAUGUGCACUCUUGGAAAUGAUCAAACUCUAUCAGGUUCCAAUUGUAUUUGACCAUGACCCCUCGAGCGUAUUUGAUUUUAAAAACAACAUUAACGGCAGGUAGCUAAAAGAGCUUUUAUCUAUCUCAUAACCAAACUAACAACAAACAAUCAUCCCAAACAUAUCAACCAUUGUUAUAUUUCUCGCUUAACUUUGAUUAGACAUUCAACAGAGUCCACAUGAAAAGAUAUAACAUAUAAUUAUCAAAAUUCAAUAAGAAACCAACCUUGAGGAACGGAUGUUGAUGUUCAUGUGAAACCCUGACACAAUCAGCACAACUACCAUCAAUCAGCCUCUCAGACCCAAAAUAUCCACCUCCUCCUCUUUCUCUUCCUUCUUCUCCUUAUCUACACCGCGACUAGGAAACUUCACCGGCAACCUUCCAAGUAAUUACCAAAGAUAUACUCAGGCGUGUACCUAUUUUCUUCAUCAAAAAGCAUAAUAGGUUCACCGUCACGCACUGGCCCGAAAUCCGGUUUAAGUAGGUCAAUUCGACCAGAGACUAUGACACAUACUAGCUCGUUCUCCAGCCUGGCUUCUUCUCUUCGAGGUUGGUCUGAAAAUCUCUGUCUUCAUCGUUUUCGCUGUCGUCCGAUUUGAAAAGGAGGUCGUCUAGGGAUUGAGAAAGGAAAUGGGAAUUAGGGGGACGGAUUCGGAGGCGCCCGAGUAGGAUUUAGAAUUUGUGUAUCUGUUGAAAGAGCUCAUGGUUAUUCGCGAUUCCAUUUUCUUUUUCUUUUUCCCUUCUCUUCGUUGUCCUUAAUGAAAUCAGAUCUUAGAAGAAAAAAAUCCCAAAAAAGUAUCAGUUUUAGAUGUAAACGUGGGUUAGUCUAAAUGGUAAAUAUCAACUUUUAGGCAUCGUAUUUCAAGUUUCGUAAAUGGUGUUUUUGGUUUAUUAACUUUUGUAAUCCAAAAUAAUCUUUAAAAAUAUAUAAACGUAGUAAUACAGUAACUAUAAUAUUUUAUUUCUAUAUAAUUAUUAACUAUUUCUAGAUUAGUAUCAAAAAUUCUGAUCUAAUGUAUUGGUAUAAAAAGUUAUUAGAAUUUGUAAAUUAAAUUGCGGAAUGAAAUUCAGUAUAAUCUGCAACAACUUAUUUUUUAUAAAAAAUCAGUAAAUAUUAAAUAAAAAAGAAUAUAUACUAAAUUAUUAUUUACUAUAGUAAGACAAGUAUAUAUUUACAUAGAAUUUUGUAUUUUGUUAUUUUAUCAUUUUAUAUAAUUGUAUUGUAUUCUGAGUUGAUACAACUUAGAACUCAAAACAGAAUACUAAUUUAUAGUUUUCAUUAUAAGUAUAAAUGGAGUAUCAUGCUAAUAAGAAGAAUAUAGAAAUAGAGUCUACCACUAAUUCUCAGAGACCUAAUAGAUGAAAAGCACUACGAAGACGCGUUCACAUGAAAAUUGCAUUGAAGUUUUCUUUUUCUUUUCAAAAUCACUUUCUAUAAACUAAGUUAAGUUUGUCCAGCUAAUCUAUUACCAUUCGGUUAUCAAUGCCAAACAACAGUGAUGGUCUGGAGGAGGAACGUGAGUGGAUAUCUUUAACAGAUGAUCUACGAAUGGAUAUUGAUAACCACCGUAGACACGCAGAGGAUCUGGAGAUAAAACUCAGAAAAGAGAAAACGGCUUCGGAGGAGCUAAACGACGCUCAUGGUAGAGCCAUGCUUGGUCACAGUAGAUUCAUUGAGCAGAGAAGUAACUUCCAGUUACUUCUCUUGGUAGAGCCAUGCUUGGUCACAGUAGAUUCAUUGAGCAGUACACUGAGCUCCAGGAGAAGUAUGAUGAGUUAGUUGAGAGGCAUAACGUGACGUUGGCGGGAAUAGUUGAUGUGAAGAAAGCAGCGGCUAAAGCUGCAGUGAAAGGUCGUCAUGGGAAGAGUUUUGCCAAAGCCUUUUCAGCUGAGCUUACUGCUAUUAGAGCUGAGAAGGAGAAAGAAAGAGAGUUCUUGAAGAAGGAGAACAAGGGACUUAAGAUUCAGCUGAGAGAUACCGCUGAAGCUGUUCAAGCUGCUGGAGAGUUACUGAUCAGACUCAGAGAAGCUGAGCAAUAUGUACAAUCCUCUGAGGUAACUCUUACUUUCAUCAAUCUUUUGCUUGUGGGUUGGCUCUCACUAUUGAAUUUUAAUGUUUGGUUUGUUUUGGAUUCAAAAACCAUAUAAUUGCAGGAACGUUUCAGCUUACUUGAAGAAGAGAAUGCAAAGUUAAAGAUGCAGAUGGAGAAGUUAGAGGGCAAGCACCAGACAGAAAUGAGUACAAUGAAGCAAUAUCUUGCGGAAAGCAAAUUGCCAGGGUCUGCAUUACAGCCAUGGUUCACGGGGAAUGAGGAACAUUUAUCAGAAGACAGAACCGGUUUGGUCAAGGAGAAUGAAGAACAAACAUAUAAAAGGAAUAGGCUAUAUAUCAUAUAAAUCAACGGUUUAAAUAACAAUAUAUAAAAUAAAAGUUAAACAAACAUAUAAAAGGAAAAAUAAUAUAAGCUAACAAAAUCGAUUACAAUUGCUUUUUUAAUAUUAUUCAUAUUAUCAUAGUCAAAUUAGAAAAACACAUUAGAACAAAUUAAUCAAAAGUUUGUUGAACUUUAAAUAAUAUUAUAUGAUUUGCUCAUUUGCUCACAUGCCAGUAGAUUCUAUUUGGUACUUAAAUAAAAUAAAAUUUCAAAUACCGUUCAUAGUACUUAAAAUUUUAAAAAUGUAAUCUAAAUAAAAUAUCGACUUUAUUUUAUGUUUAAAUUUUAACUAAAUUAACUUGGUUACGAUUAUCAGCUUUUUAUUAUACUUUUAUAAAUCAAUUAGUCACAAUCACUUAUGUUAUUUCACUUUGAACUAGACAACUUCAAAAUAAAGUAAUAUCCUAUUGUUGCUACACACAAUCAAAUGAGUCGAAAAAAAUAUCAUUUUUUUGAACAUAUUUUAUUUUUAUGUUUUUGAAUAUAUUCUAUUUACUAAGAUCAUAAAAUAAAUUGUAAAUUCAUGUAAAAAUAAAACAUACGAAUCUGGCGCGUAGCGCAAGAAUACCACCGGUAUAUAUAUAUAACCUGCAUUCUUUUUAAAAGACAAUUUCGGUGUUGCACAUUUCAAGGAAGAUAAAGACGCGACCGUUGAUAAAAUCGAAUGAACAACCAAGAUCGGGUUGACACGUGACAGUGACAGGUUUGUCCGUCUUUUGUCUUUGGGAUAACGAUAUCGAACCAACUUCGUCCUCAUAGGUUUUUAAUCGUCUCACCGUCACGAUGAGAAACUAAGAUUUGUUAUGAAUCACGGAGGAUGAUCCAUAACCUAGACCAUACAAGUUCAAGAUUAGAGUCUAUUGGAGUUUUACAUCCAGCCAUAUGGAAAACCCAUAACCCAUGUCAUUAUGUAGAGUACCUUUGUAAUCAAUUCUCCCUUUAACUCCAUCUUGUAUGAACCAUUAUAUAUAGUGGUGUAAGCAAUAAGAAAUAUACAACACAUUCUCACAAAUCUUCUCUCAAAUCUUAACACGUUAUCAGUACGAGACUUUCUCCACCUGAGCAAUCCCAUCCGCCGACGAUCAUCUCUUUUCCGGCCAUCUCUUCCGGCCCUCAGCCUUGCUCCGCCGGCCAAGUCUAUCCCUUUCACGGUUUUCCGGCCAGCUCCUCCACCUCUCUCUCAACCAGCUCAUCCGCGGAUCAGCUCUCUCUCACGGUGGUCCAUUCAGAUCAAUUUGGUGUUUUCUAAAAGGUAAACUAAUCUAUCCAUAAAAUCUAAUAACACCACAUAUCUGAAUCCUGAUUAUUAGAUCUAUUUGAAUCAUAAAACUUAUAAAAAAUCUAUAGAUCUAAAAUUAUCACAAAUAUUAAUCUUGAAUCUAAGAUCUAUAUGAAUCUUGAUUCUAAAAUUAUUUGAAUCUCUAAAGAUCUAAAAAUCUUUAAAAACUUAUAAAACUUAUUAAUAAUCUAAGAUCUAUACGAAUCUUGUUUCUAAGAACUAUUUGAAAUUAUAAAAGAUAUUAGAGAAAAUCAUAAACCUCUUUUAGCUAGCAAGCCUUAAAAUCGGUUCUCCUUUCUCCUAUUUUGAUCCGGCCUUAAAUCCGGAUUGACUAAAGGAUUGAAACCAAUAAUCUUUGUUUGGCCGUAUUACCGGCUGUAUAGCCGGAUGAAUAAGCUGGCCAUCAAAAUCUUAAUCCCAUUCGAUGUGCUUACCGAUCCAAAUCGGCCCUUAUCCACAUUAAAAUCUCAAAUCCUCUUGUUUGUUUUAUAACCGGAUAUGUAUCUUGAUGGCCAUUAUACAUAUCAAUUCCCUAAAUCCUUUUUGCUUGAUUUUUAUCAAUCCCCUAAACUCUAAGCAAUAACCGGCUGAACCCCUAAAUCCAAAUCCGGCCAUGAUUUUUUUUUUCCGGCCAUGACCUUUUCCGGCCACAAUCUUUUCAGCCAUAAUCUUUCAGUCAAACCCAAAGAUAUCAAAACUUAAAUUCUAAUCAAUGCAUAUCUUUGACCAUUGAUGUUUUAUAUUGUAACUGGUCAAAAUUUAAAACUUUUAUGAUUGUUUUAAAUGCAUAUCUUUGACUAGGUAGUAUUUAUCAAAAUAUUAUAACAUAUAGUCUUGAUUUAAAUAGUUAUGACAUAGGCUAAAAUAAAUACUAAGUUGAAAUCAUUUGAUCACAUAGUUGUUUGUCAAAAUUUAUCUAAAUCUAAACCGGCCUUGAAAUCGGUUCAUUAUAGUUUGAACAAAUGAUAUAAAUUUAUCUUGAUCUAAAAACCAACCUUGAAAACUGAUUUUGUGAUGAUUGAAUUAUAUACUGAUCAUAUAUAUAUAUACCUGAUAGCAUCUAUUAGAUCAAACAUGGAUUAGUAAAUUGUUAGAUCAUACACAUAUCAUGAACUGAUCAUUUCCAUGCAUCUGCUUGUCAUAUAGUUUUAUUAAAACUGAGCAUGCAUACAUAUAAUAGAUCAUUCUAAUCAUGGGGCAUUUAAAAUAAAAUCUAAAUUGGUUCAUAUUGCUUGCAUCUAAUUAGAUUAAAUCGGUUAUUUUUAAAGUUAAGCAUGUUUGUUUAAUUUGAAAACAUAAACCAGCUUUGAAACCGAUUGAUUGAAAAUCUAAUUGAAUUUGUUCUAGACAUAUCCUGAAAAUUAUAAAAUUUUCUUGUCUUGGUUUACCCUGUAAAAGGGGGAAGGGAUCGGUUUUUGCUUUAUGAUCUUUGAAAACCAAAUAUCCUCAUGCAUUAGGAAUCACAUAUAGAUUGUUUAAGUCCAAUGCUUAGUUCUGAACAUGCAUUCAGCUAUUUCUUGAUCCAUGCAUUUGCUUGAUUUCAUCCAUCUUGCUUGAUCUCAUUUAAUAAAAUGAUGAUUGAUCCUUAUUCAAAUUCUAAAGGGCCUUAAUACCCUAUAUAUAUAAUCAAUCCAAUUUGAAUUAUAAUUAAAAAGAUUACUAGAUGCAAUGAUCAAUUGAUCAUUCUCAUACUAAGAUUGCUUAAGCCCUAUUGCUUACAUAGAAUUCUGAGUGCUUGAAUUACUCGUUAAAUAUUCAGAUGUCGAGAUUUGAACCCUCAGAUUACUCUGCCCUAAAUCUCUCUGGAGAUAAUUACCUAGAAUGGGUAAAGAAUACUCUUGUUGCCCUGAGAUCCAGAGGACUCGGACAAUGCAUCAAUGAGUACAAUGAUAUCAUUGACAGUGAAAGGCAUAGAGCUAUAACGAUUAUUCGUUAUCAUCUCACUGAGGAAUUAAGAGACCUGUAUCUCCAUGUUGAGGAUCCUUGUGACCUUUGGUUACAGUUAAGGAAAAGGUUCAAACUGGUAUCAUGGCAAAAGGCCAACCAUGAAUGGGAGAUCCUCAGAUUCCAGGAUUUUGAAUCCGUGGACAAAUAUAAUUCUGCUCUGAUGGAUAUUGCUUAUAGUCUUGAACUAUGUGGUGAAAGGAUAACACAUUAUUCUUUAUUAUAUAAGACCUACUCCACAUUCUAUCCAAAGGAUGUGCUGUUGCUACACACGGCUAAGAAGUUCACCACUUAUAAUGACCUUUUGUCAUAUCUUUUGGCUUCUGAACAAAGAAAGCAGAAAAUCAAAGAUACCAUCAACAGAUUUGACAAGCUUCAGAAAAGAUACGUUGAGCUAAAGAAUAAUGAGAUGAGGCCUCCUAUAGCUGAUGAAGCUGAAGUUGAGCGCCAUAUGGCAACACAUGCAUUGUGAAUGCCAUAUUAUAUAAUUGUCUUUUUACAUUCUCAUUUUCAUGUUUCCUGAGUUUAUGUUUCAUGAAUUGCUUUGAUACUUUGCUUUAUACACGACUUCAUUAAUAAAAUGAAUUACUUUGAGUUCAUCAUUAUCUUAUUCAAACUGUUGUUUGAUAAGAAACUAUAUCUAUAUGCCUUUAUUGUGCCAAGAUAAAUAUGAUUGAGGAUUAAUACCCCAACUCACUUUUCCAAAGAGUUCAAAGAAGCCUUUAACAAAUGGCACGACAUGCUCUGCCAUCCAGGCUCAGUUAUAAAAUACUCUUGAACUCAACUGGACAUUCCUUGAAAGAAAGGAAAAGAAGCUCGACCAAGGCUUUGCCUAAAUGACAUUAUAUUCACCCUAUAAGCUCCAUUGAAUUAAGAAGAAAAUAUGGUUUCCAACAAUGGACAAAAAGGAAUAAGAGUACCUAAAUUAAAAUCGCCUAAGUGGUCGAGACUACAUUCUCUAUUGAUCUAGUGAUCAAUAUGAUAUUAGGCAAAUAGCCAGGGCAAUCAUGUUUGAUUAACCCACGAAAUUUAUCACUUAGAUGGCAUUACCAUACUUAGCCAUUCGGAUUAUGAUGCAAAUAUUUAAAAGGGCACAAAUGUUAUCCCAUAAGAUCUCACGUGUGUGCAAUAUAUCUAUGCACAAGGAAAUUUAUUGUCCUAAGCACCACGAAUUUGAGAAUGUUCAUGAGGGGGAGUGAGGACAAAUCCCAUGAUACAUGACCAUACUAAAAUCCGUGAAAUAUGUCCACAACCAUAUUACAUAUUGGUUGAAUUUGAUAUAAAGACCAUUACCUAUAAGGUUCAAAUUCUAAAAGUCCAUAUGCUUGGGGACACCAUGAGUUAUAAAAGAAUGAACCUGCAUCAGGCCAUAGUAAUUAUAUCAGGCCAUAUAAGUGAUCAUAGAUAUUCCCACCUUAGACUUAUACGGGUCAUGAGUCCAGACAUAUAUCAUCUUAAGAUAUUAUGAAAGAAUCCACCAAAAAUAUAUGUGUCAUCUAAGAUCAUGUGAUCUUAGAAUCUCAUAAAGAGGAUUGGGAAUAUAUGUUGGAUAUAUAUUAUGAAUAUACUUUCUCCAUAAGUUUAAAAGAAAACUUGAGCCAAAAUGGGUGAUCUAAUUAUAGACCAAGGAACAAGGAUUACAUAAGGUUUAUGAAUCCGAAUAUCCAACAAUGAAAGGAGAAAANNNNNNNNNNNNNNNNNNNNNNNNNNNNNNNNNNNNNNNNNNNNNNNNNNNNNNNNNNNNNNNNNNNNNNNNNNNNNNNNNNNNNNNNNNNNNNNNNNNNNNNNNNNNNNNNNNNNNNNNNNNNNNNNNNNNNNNNNNNNNNNNNNNNNNNNNNNNNNNNNNNNNNNNNNNNNNNNNNNNNNNNNNNNNNNNNNNNNNNNNNNNNNNNNNNNNNNNNNNNNNNNNNNNNNNNNNNNNNNNNNNNNNNNNNNNNNNNNNNNNNNNNNNNNNNNNNNNNNNNNNNNNNNNNNNNNNNNNNNNNNNNNNNNNNNNNNNNNNNNNNNNNNNNNNNNNNNNNNNNNNNNNNNNNNNNNNNNNNNNNNNNNNNNNNNNNNNNNNNNNNNNNNNNNNNNNNNNNNNNNNNNNNNNNNNNNNNNNNNNNNNNNNNNNNNNNNNNNNNNNNNNNNNNNNNNNNNNNNNNNNNNNNNNNNNNNNNNNNNNNNNNNNNNNNNNNNNNNNNNNNNNNNNNNNNNNNNNNNNNNNNNNNNNNGACUGAAUUAAAUUACUACAUGUAAGCAAGUGAUGAGUUCUAUAAGAACAAUUCAAAUCAGUCCAUAGCGGAAUUUUAAAUUCCUUGUGUUUUAUACUAACCAGCCUAAGAUAGGUUAAAUGGUUAUUCAUUAAACCUUGGAAAAGUUUAUAGACCAUCACCACAAAUUAGCCAAAUUUUGGUAAUACUUAUGGUUGGUCGAAUUCUUAGCAUGAACCAACCAAGCUGUGGUAUGAAUGAAUAAGCUAUCAUAAAGAUAAGCUAUAAGAUCGAAGUUCAUCUUUGAACAAAAGGUAUAGGACCACAUUAUGCAUCCAUAUGCUACCCAACGGGUCCGACCAUCAUAUAUGAAGAUAAUGCAGCUUGCAUUGCUCAACUCGAAGACGGUUAUAUCAAAGGUGACCGAACCAAACAUAUUCUACCCAAGUUCUUCUUUACCCAUGAGUUGCAGAAAGCUGGAGAGGUCAACGUCCUUCGGAUCCGGUCUAGUGAAAACUCUGCCGACCUCUUCACCAAAUCAUUGCCCUCUUGCACAUUCAGGAAGUUCACGCAACAAGAUUGGCACACAUAGACUCAAGGACCUUCAGUGAUGUCCAAAUCAGGGGGAGUAAUGUGUGUUGUACUCUUUUUCCUUUCUCUGGUUUCUCUUUUUACCACAUUGGGUUUUGGGUUUUCUGGGAGAGGUUUUAAUGAGGCAACAUUAGCAUGUUACAAACCCUAUAUGGUUAUGGCAUCCAAGGGGGAGUGUUAUGAAUCAUGAAGUGGAUGGUCCAUAACCUAGACCAUACAAGUUCAAGACUAGAGUCCAUUGGGGGUUUACAUCCAGCCACAUGGAAGACCCAUUCAACCUUAUGUCUUUAUGAGUUUGACCAUGUCAUUAUGUAGAGUAUCUUUGUAAUCAAUUCUCCCUUUGACUCAACCUUGUAUGAACCACUAUAUAUAGUGGUGUAAGCAAUAACAAAUAUACAACACAUUCUCACAAAUCUUCUCUCGAAUCUUCGCUUAUUCUUUCUUUUUUUUAUAUAUAUCUUUGGAUGUAAUGAUAAAGUUGACAACACUAAAAUCUGGAAAGACUCUUGGAUUUCUCUAGACUCAUAACUGAAACCAUUUAGAACCCAUACAAGAACACGCUUUAGAUCUAACAGUAGCGGAUCUCCUCACGACAGACAUGAAGUGGAACAAAAAGAGAGUAGAAGAACUUUUACCUCAGGUGGCUACUGAAAUUCAGCUCCUGCAUCCUGGCCACGCAAACACAGAGGACAUCUUUAUAUGGCAACCGCUAUAGUCUGGCACUUACACCACAAAUUCGGGCUACUAUGCAGCAUCUACAAAGAAUUUAACACCUCUUAAUGCUACCACGGAGACAUUUGAGUGGAACAAAGAUGUGUGGUCUGUAAAAUGGUCACCGAAAAUGAAACUUUUCUUGUGGUCAGUAGUCCAAGAAGCCAUACCGCUGGAGGAGCAACUGCAAAAACGUGGAAUUAACUCAGAUGUGAGGUGUAUCAAAUGCAAAAGUUGUGAAACUGUGAUGCACACCUUUUUCUCUUGCCCUUUUGCUCAAGAAGUCUGGAAGCUAAUCCCCCUGAGACAAGUAGUUCACUUAGCUACGGAUAUGAACUUCAAGCAAGCCCUAGUAGAAUUCAGGACCGCAGUAUGUCUUCCUCCAACAGGUGUCCCGACGAUCAUCUUCCCUUGGGUCCUUUGGGCAAUUUGGUCUACUCGCAACUUGCAUGUGUGUUUGAGAAUCGGCUCCUAUCAUCUAUGGAAACUGCGACAAAAGCGCUUAGUCUAGCAGAAGAAUGGAACAAAGCACAACAACAGGUUCAAUCUGUGAACAAAGUGGUACCUGCAGCAAGAAGAUCGAAAGGAAACACCAUUGAAAGCAUUGCCUUUACGAAAACAACGUUUUGCGGUUUGAAUAACACUUAUAUAACCCUUAUUAAGUGUCUUAGACUGAUUAUGAAGUCAAAAAUUUGUUCCUUACCCUAUAAUAAACACUUUUCCGAUUGUAUGAACGAAAUCCCCACAACAUAAGAGAAACACUUAUACACUUUAAUGAACAGUAAAGGGAAUACUUACAAUUCGUUUAGAAAUUUUGUUAUUUCAUAGUUUAUGAUCAUCUAUACAAAGAUUCCUCAAUGGUAUGCAUUGCAUUUGUAUAAGAAAUGAUAUAGGGCAAAAAAAAUUGAUGUUUUGAAACCCCAAACAUGUGUUCCUCGGAAUAUUCCGAGGAAAUUCCGAGGAACAAUAUAAACCAACAGAAAUACAUGCAUAGGAUAUUCUUUUUCCUCGAAUUAAUGAAAUAUCCGAGGAAAUUCCGACGGAUAUUUAAGUGUCCGUCGGAAUUUCCUCGGAUUUUUUUCAUUUAACCAGGCAAACCAGCCGCGAAAUAUUUCGCGAAAAUUGAAAUUGAAAAACCGAGGAAAUUCCAACGGAAACUAUCCGUCGGACCCUAGGUUUUAUAACGCCGAGACACUUCUUCUUCCCCAUUUCUCUCUUCUUCCUCUCCGGCUCCUCUCCCUCCUCUCUGGCGAUCUCCCCCUUAUCUCUCUUCUUCCUCUCCGGCGAAUCCUCUCUAAACCUACACAAAUCAUGUAAGGACCCUAUCUCACUCUCUUAGGUUCUAUUUGUUAGGUUUUUGUGUAGAUUUGAUAGAUUUUUGUUAGGGUGAUUGGUUAGGAUUGUGAUUUGGUUGUAUAAUAGGUUUAGAAUUGUGAUUUGGUUGAAUAAUUUGUUUUGUUGAAUUGAUUUAGAAUUUUUUUAUAAUUUUUUUAUUUUUUGUAUUUAUAAAAUCGAUUUUUGUAUAUAAAAUCGAUUUUUGUAUUUUACAAAACGAUUUUUCUAUAUAAAUUCGAUUUUUUGGAUUUUACAAAAAAAAAUUUCUAUAUAAAUUCGAUUUUUUGGAUUUUACAAAACAUUUUAAAUAUCUAUAAAACUUUUUUUGUGAUUAAAUACUAUUAUUUGGGAUUUAAAAAUAUUUUUCAUAUAUAUAUAUUAUUAAAACUAUUUUUUUGUAAUUAUUAAACAAUUUUUAUUUAUUAAAACUAUUUUUUGUUUAUUAGAACUAUUUUUAUAUAUUUAUUAAAAAAAUUUAAUAUAUAUAAAUCUUUUUCUGUGAUUAAAUUAUUUGGGAUUUUUUUUUAAAAAAAAAAAUUAAUUUAUAUAUUUCUGUAUUUAUUAAAUAUUUUUUUUUAAUUUACAGGUCUCAUGAUGAUCAGACCCGGCCUCGACAGCGUCGUGGUCGUGGUGGUACGGGGAGCCAGUCUCGGGAUUCCAGCCAUUUUCAGGAUUCCCCUUCGCCCCACAGCUCCUACCAUACAUCUCCCUCUGCUGCACCCGCUCCUGCUCCUCUCGCUCCCGCUGCUGCACCCGCUCCUGCUCCUCCGGGUCCUCCGGGAGUGAUGAGUGUUGCGGAGUUGGUUCGACAGCCCGGUCGUGACCAUCUUCCCUAUCUCACUCCGUAUCCACAUGGACGGGGUCAAACAUGGUAAUUAAACAUAUUUUUUUUUCAUUAAAAUUUGAUUCAUUAUUAACCGUUUGUUCUUUUUAUUAGGUUCAACCGAUCCGGGAACGGGAUCAGCGCAUGGAUCAACCGUAUGAUGUACUCGGCCCUCGACAAGGGACAUCCGACUUUCACUCACUUCCCUACCGACAAGCAGCAUCUGUGGUUUCGUCAGUUUGCGGUAAGUAUUCUAAUUUUUUACUUAUAUUUUUAAUCUUUAAUAUAUAUUUUCUACUAAUUGUGUUUUUUUUCAGCAAGAAUUCAACUGGAAUUCCGAUGAGACGCUCUUUAUCUAUCACCACUUCGUCCAUAAAGUUAUGGACAACUAUGGGAAGCAGAUCCACGAGUGGAAGAAGAAGUGGGAAAUCAACAAGGUUGUUUUUAAUUUAUUAAACAAUUUUUUAAUUUAUUAAACAAUUUUUUUAUUUAUUAAACUAUUUUCUUUUUUUUUAUUAAAAUGUCCCAAAGUCGAUAAACAACACGGUCUGGACGGAGUUGUGUGUGCAUUGGGAUAAGGAAGAGACGAAAGAAACUUCUUCCACCAACUCCACCAACCGCAGGAGUGACCGUAAAGGGAAGGGCGUCUUCAAGCAUAACUUGGGUGCUCAAUCUAUUGCCUCUCUGGGGGAUCGCAUGGUAAGUUCAGCUGUUUUUUCUUCAAUUAUUUAAGUUUUGAAAUUUUACUUUUUGUCCAUUUUAUCGAAUUUCUAAUGUUUCUUUAAUUUAUGUUUUUUUCAAGGCGGAAGAAAAUGAUGGCGAGCCGGUUGAUGAUCUCGCCCUAAUGAAGAGGGCGUAUACCAACAAGAAGACCAGCCAGAUUGAUGACGGUCUUGUGAGGGAAGUGGUCACCCUGGUCCAAACUCAGGUGCAAGACGAAGUGUCUCAGCUUCAAACCGAGGAUGACGCUUCGACGGCUUCGACCAACUUGUCCCGGUUUCGAAUCAACGAAAUGGUUGAAUCCGUAAGUUCUUUUUUUAAAGUUCAAUUCAUUUAUUUCUUGAUUUAAAUUUGGCUAUUUUCUAUUUCACUCUCAUCCAAAGAAGAAGGGACGUUUGGUCGGUUUGGGUCGUCGCACCCGGUCGGUUCGGGUCGUCGCACCCGGUCGGUUCCUCCGUCUUCUGCACCACCGCCCUUUGUUGAUCCAGAAGUACUUACGGCUCAGUUGAAGGACAAGGAUGAUCGCAUAUCUUUGUUGGAGACCCAGAUGGCGGCUCAACAGGCGGGCUAUGAGGCAGAGAGGAGGCUGAACCAGCAAAUGAUGGAGAUGAUGCAGAGGAUGUACCCGAACGAGGUGUUCCCGAACGUGCAAGACCCGUAGUUUUUUCUUUUCAAAAACUCGGAAUGUUUUAUUUUUAUUUGUACAACUUUGAAUAUUAUCUAAUAUUUUUUCAAUUUUAAUUUUAAUUUUAUAUUUUCGAAUUUAAAUUUCAAAAAUUUUAUUUUUUUAAAAAAAAUUAAUUUUUUUUGAAAUUCCGAGGAAAUGAACCCUCGGAAAUUUCCGAGGAACAUUUCCUCGGAAUAUACCGAGGGACUUCUUCCUCGGAAUAUACCGAGGGACUCAUUCCUCGGAAUUUUCCGAGGGACUCAUUCCUCGGAAUUUUCCGUCGGAACUUCCGAGGAUUGGACCAUCGGAAAGUCCAUCGAAAUAUCUCGAGGAAGUUCUCCCUCGGUAUAUUCCGAGGAGCUUUCCGACGAACUGGUGGUCCUCGGAGUUUCCUCGGAAUUCCGUUGGAAAUUUCCGAGGGAUUUCCGAGGAAAAAUGAAUUUCCGAGGACUUGUUUCGUCGGUAUGUCGUCGGAAUAACGUUAUUCCGACGACAUACAUUCCGACGAUAUACCAACGAUUUUUUCCCUCGAUAUGUCGCUGUUUUCUUGUAGUGCCAUUGAGCCGGUUAUGUGAGAGAUCCAACUGGUUUAGCCAUGUUAGCUUGCUAAAUAAGGAAGGAACCUGACCUAUGAAGCUAUUAGAGGAAAGAGACAAAACCUCUAAUCUGCUGAGGUUGCUGAACUCGGAAGGGAGUGAAGAGGAAGUGAAGUUGUUAUGAGAGAGAUUUAGGUGACGGAGAUGACGCAAAUGGAAGAGGCUACUGUUUGGCUUGAGAACUCCAGUGAGGCAGCCACUUGGGAGUUGUAGCUCGGUGACGGCACCAGUGGCGUUGUCGCACUGAACUCCAUUAAGGUAAUCAGUUUGGUUGCAGUUUCUGGAAUCAAACUCGUUCUUGAACUGAUUAAGUGCAUGAAUCUGGUCGGGAUGACAACCGGAAAGUCCAACAACAAGAGUGAAGCUUGAAGUAAAGAUGACAAAGAGUGAGAUAUAACGCAAAAGCAGAUGUAAUCCCGACAUGAUGGUCGUCAUGAAAACUUGCAAGAGGAAUGUUAUUCUUUAAAGAAAAGAGAUGAAGAAGAUUGGUAUAAAUAAAGAUACAAGGUCAUGCAUUGUACAAAAUAUCUUCCCAAGAAGUUAGAGAUAAGUGAAGUAUCUGUCUCUGUCUCCAUGAGAGAGCCAUCAAUAAUUGAUAUUUGUAACUUAAAUGCGAUCCCUUCUUCCUUGAUCCCGUGGCUAUGCUUCUCUCUCUCUGUUUAUCAUUUAUUCAAAAGUAGGUGUUUGCAUUUGACUUCACUAAAGUUGCGAUUUUAACUUAUUUAAAAUGGAAUUAGAAAAGAGCAUGCACUACGUAUCUACUUUAUUUUUGUCGAGCAAGAUUAUUUAUACUUCUUUUGCGGUUGUAUAUGGGACAGUAAGAAAAUCAAUUAACAUAGAUAAGAACACAAAGAAAAUAAAUAAUUGCAGGCUUGCAGCAUGAUGACUAAUAACAUAGGUUGUUGAAACUUUGUUUUCUCUUUUAAAUAUUUUUGCAUUAUUGAAUAUAAGAAUUUAUGGCCUUAGAGCAUCACCAUCGGUGAAGUUCUAAAAACCAGUAUAUUAACCAUUAAAUAUUAAUAUUACAGCAUAAUAAAAUUUUCUGAUUAACUUUUAUUUUGUUUGUAAAUGAUAAGCCAUUUAUAUCAUGACAUAUGGCAACUUGUGUCAUAAAACCGUUUCUAAAAAUCCUUUGCAAAGAACUUUUUCUAACUGUCUUUCUCCUUAUGCUAUUAUUUUAAUAUUUAAUUUUUUUUAAGGACCCUGUCAAAAAGCAACCGAUGGAGCUGGUCUUAGGCCCUUACGGUGAAAUGACAUUAAAUGUGAUUUGCGGAUUUGGUGAAGACUUGGUUAAGUUUUAAAGUGUAGGUAACCUUUUUUGCACUAUCUUUUUUUGUCUGCUUUGUUCGUUCAAGAAGUUUGUUUAUGCCAAUUCUGUAUAUCCAUGAGGUCAUUGUCAAAUUCAUCUUUCAAGUUUGAAGAUAUUAUCAACUCUCUCCCACCUGGAGUUUAUUAAAAAAAAUUAACUAUUUUACACGGCUCGGUUGUGUCUAUGUUUUAUUCAAGUAAUCAAAUCCGAGGAUAAUAGAUAACACUAACGUCGCUGCAUUUUAUUUUUCCAAAUAAGCUCAAAGAGGAUGAUGGUUAGCAGUGGCAUUCAGUUAAACUGAUAUAUAUUCUUGAGACCUGUAUAAUCUUAUAGUCUCCGACUCUCUUUACAUUCACUUAAUCCAAUUUGUCUAAACAGGAAGCUGAAAAAUUGGAGAAGAACCAAAGCAGUAUAUAACAAGCCUUUCCAAGACAUCAUCGGCCAAGUGAGAGGUUUCAUUUAAGAGAGCAAAGGUUAUAGAAACUUGUAAGACUUAUUUCUUACCUCAGUAACAAAUUAAUUAUCAACAUACUAUAUUUACAUAUGAUUACUAGAACUGUCCCAUCUUGAAUCUAGAGAGUCAAACAAGCUAGCUGGAUCUGCUUCCUUGUGCUUAUCCGGACCAACUAUCUUGACAAACCACUUUGGCAUGUAUGAAGCAAUAACAUGUGCUAUUACCAAUCCAAAUAACAAGCCAGGUCCAUACCCUAUAACCACCGCUUUCCAGUUUAAAACACCUUCCUCUUCAUCUUCUUCCUUAAACUGUUGUGUCGGUGGUGGUGCAAAGCAACUUCCUUGGAGAGGAAGACCACAUAGACCUGCAUUUCCUUCAAAUGAUGUUUCAGCUUGCCCACUAAACUGUGGUCCUUGUGGUAUUUCGCCUAUGAGCUGGUUAUGAGCCACACUUAUGUACGCCAAAAAUGAAAGUCUCGCAAGUCCUUUAGGAAUAGUCCCCGAGAGUUUGUUUCCUGACAGGUCAAGUGACUCGAGCUCUGUAACAUUUUCCAUAGACAGAGGAAUAUGACCAGUAAAUCCAUUGUUUGAUAAGUUGAGAGCAAUCAGUGCCUUCAAAAGACCAAUGGAUUCAGGAAUCUGUCCUUCAAAUCUGUUUCCAGAAAAAUCGAUGGUGGCAUAGGAAGUGAGGACCUUUCCUUGCUCCAUGAAUAGACCUUUGUAUUGCAAGUCCAUGGUAUCUUCGUAGAUAUAAUAAGCGUUGUUGUAGUCUCCCAUAUAUAUUCUUCCAUCAUCAUUCGUCUCGAGUGAUGAUGCUUUCCAAUUCACAAAGUAAUUUGAUGGCAAGCUUCCUGUAAAGUUGUUAUCCGAUAUUUCAAGUAUGUGCAGCUUGGGAAACGCAAGAGGAACUUCACCAGGAAGAGAUACAGGGCCAUAAAAUUUGUUUGAACGAAGGGUAAGGACUUGUAAACCAGGCAAAGCCUUGAGCCAAAAAGGAAAUGUGUCUUUGAUUUUGUUGUUGUCCACACUUACAAACCUUAGCGAAGAGCAAUUCAGAAGAGACCUUGGAAGCUUCCCAGUUAAUUGAUUGUAGCCUACGUCAAGUGUCCGCAGCAACGAACCAUUGUAGAGCAUAUCUGGAAUACUUCCUUCCAAGUUGUUCUUCCUGAGAUUCACGACAACGAGAGAGUCUUUGAGGUUACUCAAACAUCGAGGAAUCGGACCGCUUAAGUUGUUGUAGGAGAGAUCAAGAAUAACCAGCGAGCUCCGGUUGCAAACUGAAAGAGGUAUGUUUCCUGUGAAACUAUUGUUCCAUGCAGAAAAGAGGUUGAUAGAGAGUGGUGGAGUAGGAACUGGUCCUUCAAAAUGGUUUAAAGCCAAAUCUAAUAUCCUCAACGAUGAAUUCGUUAAAACGUCAUUUGAACCUUCUAAAUGAGUGAAAGCAUUGUUGACAAGAUUGGCCCUGAUCAGAUGAGGAAGGUUCCAAAGCCACUCAGGGACUUUCCCUUUAAUUUUAUUAUUGGAAAUGUCUAUAUGUUCCAAUCUAUCAAGGCUCCGUACAAAUUCUGGGAACUUGCUGAUGUCACAGCUUGACAAGAGCAAUUUCUCUAUGUUACGUGGGACGUCUGAAUCUGAACUUAUACUAGUUUCCAAUACACUAUUACCGGAAAGAUCAAGUCUCAACAAAGAUUUGAGAGAGGAAAAAAAGUUUAAGUUAAUUGGGUAGCUUAUGUUUUGGAAAGAAAGGCCAAGAUAUUUAAGGGUGGUGAAGUUUGAGAUAAGGUCUAGGAUUUUUCCUUCGAAAGGGUUUUUUCUAAGGUGCAGAGUUUCGAGCCGGGAAGAAGUAGAUGAGCUACGAACUUCAACAGGAUCGGUGAGAUGAUUUUCAUCGAGAUUAAGAUAUGACAAGAAAGGCAUAGUGAGGAGAGAGGAAGGGAUGGCUCCAGAGAAGUGAUUAAGAGAUAGGUUCAAAAUGGAGAGGCUGGUUAUAUUUUGUACGAGUGGGAAACCACCUGUGAGCUCGUUAUGGUCAAGAUACAACUCGGUUAGCCGACUCAAGUUACUUAAUGAGGAAGGAACUUGACCUAUGAAGCCAUUAGAGGAAAGAGACAAGACCUCUAACUUGUUGAGACUGCCGAAUCCAGACGAGAGUGAAGAGGAGGUAAACUUGUUGUAAGAGAGAUUGAGGUAACGAAGAUGGUUAAAUCCAAAGAGACUACUGUUGGUUUUGAGAACUCCAGUGAAGCAGCCACUUGGGAGUUGUAGCUUCGUGACCUCACCCGUAAUGUUAUCGCACAUGACUCCAUUGAAGUAGUCAGUUUGGUUGCAACCGCUGUAAUCAAACUCGUUCUUGAAUUGCACAAGUGCUUGAAUAUGGUGGGGACCACAACCAGAAAGUCCAGCAACAAGAGUGAAGUUUGGAGUAAAGAUAACAAAGAGUGAGAGAAAAGGAAAAAGCAGAUUUAAUCCCGACAUGAUGAUCGUCAUGAAUUUUUUUUUAAGAAGAAUGGUAUUCUUUAUAGCAAAGAGAUGAAGAAGAUUGGUACAUCGUCAUGCGUUGUUAAAAUAUCUUGCCAAUGAAUAAUUGAGGCAUGGCUAAUCAAAUAAAUUGGUGAGACUUUGUUUCCUCUUUGAGAUGAAGAAGAUUGGUACAUCGUCAUGCGUUGUUAAAAUAUCUUCCCAAUGAAUAAUUGAGGCAUGGCUAAUCAAAUAAACUGGUGAGACUUUGUUUUCUCUUAAAAAUUUCCUGCGCUAUUAAAUUUAAGACUUUAUGGCGUUGUGAUUGUGGUUGGAUAAGACUUGGUCAAGUUUUAAAUAGUCGGUAACCUUUCUUGCACUAUCUUUUUGUGUUUGCUUGUUCGUUCAAGAAGUGUGUUUCGGCUAUAGUAAACUCAAUGUAUAUCAAUACAACUAUAGUAAACUCAGAUUUCUUAUUUGAUUGAAAAGGAAAUAGCACAAAAUAUCAUAAAAUUAUAUAAAAACAUAAGGAACUGAUACGCUACCAGACCAUCAAACUCUUGACAGACAUUCGAAGAUUAAGUGAAAACUGAAAGAAUACUAAUGGUUUAUGCGCUUUCACUGGUACAUUAUCUUGAUGAGCCACUCUGGCUUGUAUGAAGCAAUGACUUGUGCGACAUUCGAAGAUUAAGUGAAAACUGAAAGAAUACUAAUGGUUUAUCCGCUUUCACUGCUGGCACAUUAUCUUGAUGAGCCACUCUGGCUUGUAUGAAGCAAUGACUUGUGUUAUUGCCAAUCCAAGCAACACUCCAGGCCCAAACCCUAUUGCCACACCCCUCCAGUUCAACACUUCUUCCUCCUCUUUUUCUUCUUCUUCUUCUUCUUCCUUAGGUUGUUGUGUUGGUGGCGCGAACUCCAGUUCAACACUUCUUCCUCCUCUUUUUCUUCUUCUUCUUCUUCCUCUUCCUUAGGUUGUUGUGUUGGUGGCGCGAAGCAACUUUCUUCGAGAGGCAAACCACAAAGUCCUGCAUUCCCUUCAAAGGAGGAUUUAGAUUGCCCAGUGAUUUGUGUUCCUUGUGGUAUUUCACCUUUGAGCUGGUUAUGAGACACGUUUAUGUGCGCCAAAAACGAGAGGCUCUUGAGUCCACUUGGAAUAGUCCCGGAGAGUUGGUUUCUUGACAGGUCUAGUGACUCGAGCUCCGUAACAUUGGCCAAUGCGAGAGGGAUAUGGCCUGUGAAUGCAUUGUUGGAUAAGUUGAGUGCAAUCAAUGUCUUCAAGAGGCCAAUAGAUACUGGGAUUUGUCCUUCAAUCUUGUUGCCAGAAAGAUCGAUGGCGCUGUAGAAAGUAAGGAUGCCCAUUUGCUCCAUUGAUAGACCUUUGUAUUGCAAGUCUAUAAGAUCAUCAUAUGUAGAGGCACCAAUAUCUUCUGCCAUAUACAUGGUCCCAGCUCCAUUAAUCUUGAGUGAUGGUGAUUUCCAGUUCACAAAGUAGCUUGGCGGCAAGCUUCCAGUAAAGUUGUUAUCAGAUAUUUCAAAAAUGUGAAGCUCAGGAAACGCUAAAGGACCUUGGUCAGGCAAAGAUAUUGGACCAUAGAAUUUAUUUGAACGAAGCUUAAAGACUUGCAAGUUAGGCAAAUCCUUGAGCCAGAAAGGAAACGUAUCUUCGAUUCUGUUGUGGUCCACACUUAGAAACUUAAAAGAAGAGCAAUUUAGAAAGGACCUUGGAAGCUUUCCGGUUAAUCGAUUCUCGCCAACAUCAAUUGUCCGCAGGGAGGUUCCUACGUUGAACCUGUCUGGAAGAUUGCCUUCCAAGUUAUUCUUCCGGAGUUUCACUAUCUUGAAGUCAUUCAGACAUUGAAGAAUUGGACCGGUGAAGUUGUUGUAGGAUAAAUCAAGAACAGUAAGAGAGGUUCGGUUGCAGAAUGAAAGAGGUAUGUUUCCUGUGAAAGUAUUGUUCCGUGCAUAGAAGGCGUUGAGGGAGAGUGGUGGGAGAGGAAUUUCUCCUUCAAAAUGGUUAGACUGAAUAUCUAACAUCUGCACUGAUGAAUCCACUAAAACUUUUCUUGUCCCUUGGAAACCGUUGAAAUAAUUAUUGCCAAGAAGUACCGUGCUUAGACUAGGAAGGGUCCACAACCACUCAGGGACUUUUCCUUUGAUUCUGUUUGAGGAUAUACUUAAACCCCGCAAGUUGUUUAGUGUCUUUAAGACAUUUGGAAACUCGUUGAGGUCGCAGUACGACAUGACCAAGGUUUCCAAGUUUGGUGGGAUAUCGGAAUCAGCACUUAAACUAGUAGCCAGUAAACUAUUACCAGAAAGAUAAAGGUCCAACAAAGAUUUGAGAGAUGAGAGGAGCCUUAAGUCAAUUGGGUAGCUGAUGUUUAGGAAAGAAAGGUCGAGACGCUUGAGGUUGAUGAGUUUUGAGAUAGGCUCUAAGAUUUUUCCUUCAAAUUGGUUUUUCCCAAGGUUCAAGAACUCGAGACUAGAUGAAGUAGAGGAGUCUGGAACUUCAUGAGGACCGGUUAGAUGGUUAUCAUUCACAUUGAGAUAAAACAGGGAAGGCAUUGUGAAGAUAGAUGAAGGUAUGGUUCCGGUGAAUAGAUUUUGAGAUAAACUCAAGACCGAGAGCUUGGUUAGAUUACUUAUGAGUGGGAAACUACCAAUGAGCUUAUUUUUGGAAAGUUUUAAAAUGGAAAGUUGGCUUAGAUUACUAAUUGAAGAAGGAACUUCGCCAAGUAAGCCGUUCGAGGAAAGAAUCAAGACCUCUAAUCUGUUGAGAUUGCCGAACUUGGAAGGGAGUGUAGAGGAGAUGAAGUUGUUGUUGCUGAGAACAAGGUGACGGAGUUGUUGGAACCCAAAUAGGCUACUGUUGGGCUUCAGAGUUCCACUUAGACAGCCCGUGAGAUGUAUCUUGGUGACUGCACCCGUGGAGUUGUCGCACCAAGCUCCAUUAUUAGAGUAGUCGCUAUGGUUGCACGAACGAGUAUCAAACUCGUUUGUGAACUGCGUAAAAGCUUCAAUCUGGCGAGGAAGACAAGCAACAAGACCAACGACAACAUCAUCUACAUCAAUAGUAGAUGAGCUUGAAAGAAAGGCACAAGAACUUAGUAAAAGUAGCGAGAGAAAAUGCAAACGUAAAAGAGUUUCCGGCAUGGUCGUCAUUUAAAAUCUUUUUUCUUUUUCGUUUUAUGGUAAGAAGGAUAUUUUCUAUCUUUGUUUGGCUAAGAACUGAGCGAGAAAAUGGUAUAAAUAAAGAUGUGUGGUGAUGAAUAUGUCUAUACGACUAUACGCGGGAAACUCUCUUUGUCAAACAGUAAACUCGCAUUGUAGGGCUAAUGAGUGACGUCUUGCUGGUCGUAGAUGUUCUUGAAUUUUCUUGCGCUACUAAAUUAACAAAGACAAGGAUAAUGAGCAAAAUUAAAAAAGUAAUUAAAUUGUGUUUGUUGAAACUUUUAUAUUCUCUGAAUUUUCUUGCGCUAUCAGAUUUUAAGGGUUCUGGCUUUACUAUGGAACGGCAUUAAAUUUUAUUGUAACCUUCUGAUUUUUCUGGGCAUUGGACUACAAAGACAGAAUCUCUUUUGGUUGCACUCAACGGGCCAGCAUAAUUUAAUGAACAAAAUGCAUUGACUCAAUAUUUCUGCCCAGCAAAUCCCAACUAUCCCAACUAUCUUGCAGGAAGCUAUAGAUAUCUCUUCUAGUCCUCUACGUAUUAAAGUUUACUGUUAUUAACCACAAACCUGCAUAUUUUUUUUGUAAAAAAUUUGAAAAAUACAGAUUCUGGCUAAAAUUACAAAAUAAGAUUUAUUUUCAAAACGGAAAAUUAAAUUUCCACCAAACGAAUUUUCUCAAUUCCUUCGAAAAUACAUUUUUCUGGCAAAACCGAAGUAUUUUCUCGCAAAAUUAGUUGAACCAUUUUCACUCAAAACGAAAAAAAAAUUACAUUUUCAAAUUUUGGUCAAAAUUAUAUAACAAAUUUCCUACAUUUUUUCAUAUGAGAAGUGUGUCACACGACACAUGUCAGGUGGCAUGUGUACGAGUCAUGAAGUUCAUGAAGUAAACUCCAGGUCGUCAUCUCUUUCACACUGUUGAUGUUAGAAGUUUUCAAGGUUCGUAAAACAAAUGAUGUAGUAUAAAAGAUUGUCGAACCAAUUCUAAGGGAUUUCAAGCACUGAGAGUGCAAGUACUUGCUUAAUCUAAGUGCAUCUGAUGAUUUAAAAGGUUUUCUAAACUAACGAUUAAUACUAAUGCAUUUGCAGAAUAAUAAAAGCGAUAAAUGAAACGACUUUCUUAACUAAGAUAAAAGAGAACUCAUGGGUAUAGGAAUUAGACCUUGGGUGAUCAAGUUUCGAACUAAGGAUGGCAAAUGAUCAAUCAAACUAUCAACCUUAAGCUUAGACACAAUCUUAAACAAACUCUAUGUCUAGAUGAAUGUUCAUUUACUAACAUAUUUCAAACAUCAAAUGUCUUUGGUUGAAUAAUAUGAAAGCAAUCAUUACUAACAAGUCUAUUGGCUAUCUUAACACCUUUAACAACAAAUGUCUUUGGUAAAGUAUGUUAAAAGCUUAAGAGAGUUGUCUCAAGCAUUUCAUCAAACACCUUGUGGGUGGGAAAUGCCUAAAGAUCAACUUUUGAGAGGCCAACGCAGAAGAUGCAUUAUGAAUACUCUACUAGCAAGGAAUAAGAAGGAUCUACACAAUAACAUCCUAGAUCUAGCCUAAUCACCCUUAAUCUCCCUAACCCAUGAAUUCAAGAAUGGAUUACUCACUACUCUUCAUGAUUCCUCUUAAACCCAUAUUGAAACAACAGGAUUGCAAAUAACAGAAAAUCAAUUGAAUUCAAAAAGAUGAACUUUCCAAGAGGUUUUUGGUGGUUUCUUUUUGAUAAAAGAUAAUCAGCCUCCCAUGGCUUACAAAAGGUACUUAAACAUAGGUUUAGAAAGUGUAAAACAUGCAUAAUGAAAUGACCAAAAGGCCCUUGAGUAGAAAUGUAUUCGAGCAAACAGAAGGCGCGCAGCGACCUCCAGUAGUCGCUCCGAGAGGUCGCUCCAGGCUUCGGGAGCGACCUGGAGGGGUCGCUGCGAGACGUCGCUCCGGGUCGCUCUUCGCGAGCGACCUCGCUGUGUCGCUCCGGUCACGUCGCUCUCAGCUGGAGCGACCUUAUGGUGUCGCUUCGGAACGUCGCUGUAAGGUUGCUCUCGUGCCUUCGAGCGAUCUCCCAGCUGGAGCGACCUUAUGGCGUCGCUCCGGAACGUCGCUGUAAGGUCGCUCUCGUGCCUCCGAGCGAUGGAGACGCGAGCAAUAUCGGGGUGUCGCUCUGGCCAAGUCGCUCUGAAAGGGUGUCACAGCGACUUCACGGUGUCGCUCCGGUGAGGUCGGUCUCAUGCACUGCUCGUCCAAUGAUCACCUUUAUCACCUCUUUUGGGCUCCAAAUGCAUCCAAAUGUCUCCAAGAACUCCAUGUGGUACUUCAAUACCUGAUAAAGACUCAUGUAUGCAAAAUGCAACCUAAACAUGGCUAAAUCCUAGUCUAUAUAAUCAAAAUGCACAUGGGUGAAUGAAUAAAAUAGUGGAAAUAUGCAAGAUAUCAACUGUCUAGAUAAAACUGAAUUUUUUUUUUUGUUAGAAAGAAAAAAAAUAAAACUGACCGGAAAAAAUAAAUAAAUCAGUUUUGUCUAUACAGUGUGAAAGAGAUGAUAAUUUACAAUCUCGUUGGAUACAAAAGAACCAGUACGUUCACACUUCUUAGUUCACACUAGCUUAGCAACCAGAUAAACCCUACGUGUAUUUUUUUUUUCUUUUUUGUAACUGGAUGCUACAUGUAUCGCACAACGCUCCACUGGAUUAAUCGCAACCAAAUAAAUCCAACAUAAGAGUGUGUGGUUUUCAAUGGUUUGGUGAAACUUUAAUCUUCUCUUGUAAUUUUAGCCAAAUAAAUCCAACAUAAGAGUGCGUGGUUUUCAAUGGUUUGGUGAAACUUUAAUCUUCUCUUGUAAUUUUCUAGUAUCAUAUUUAUGAGAUUGUUGAAUGAAAUUAUGAAUUAUAAAGAACUCGCGCUAAUUUGUUUGUGAAUUGGAGAAGACAUCGUCAAACACACAUAGAGUGACGUGACAAACUGAGGAGAGAAGAAUGCAUAUACAAACUUUGGGAAUUAUUAUCACUAAAAAAACAAAUAUACAGUAUGAGCAAAAAGUGGUGGUCUAAACAAAAGGAAACUGAAUUGUGAAGCCCUAAAGAAACUCCAGAGAUAAUCUCAAGAACUCGAAUCUGAAAUUGCCAAAUUACAUUUCUCGGUGGGAAACACUCUCUCUUUACCAAUGAGUUUCCUUUUCAGUUCAAUCAAGGUAGACCACUGAGAGGGUUGAGGAUAACUAUAAGGACCCCGUAGAGUAUGGUUUGAGAUUGAAUUUUUGAAACCUGUAUGAUCUUAUAGUCUCCGACUCUCUUAUGUUCACUUCAGGACAUUAAUCAUCAGCCAAAAAACGAUCUCAACUAAGACCUCUUUCUUGCAUAAUUUGAAAACAUUUCCACAAACAAUAGUUACGUAAAACUUUCACGUUCUACAUGAUUAUUAUAAGUAUCCCAUCUUGAAUCCAAAGACAUAAAUAAUCUACCUGGUUUUACUUCCUUGUGCUUAUCCAGACCAACUAUCUUGAGAUACCAAUACCACUUCAGCUUGUAUGAAGCAGUAACAUGAGCCAAUAACAAUCCAGGCCCAUACCUUAUAACCACUGCUUUCCAGUUCAACACUCCUUCCUCUUCUUCAUCUUCUUCCUCAAAACUGUUGUGUCGGUGGUGGCGCAAAGCAACUUCCUUGGAGAGGAAGACCACAUAGACCUGGAUUCCCUUCAAAUGAUGAUUCAGCUUGCCCACUAAAUUGUGGUCCUUGUGGUAUUUCGCCUUUGAGUUGGUUAUGAGCCACACUUAUGUAUGCCAAAAACGAGAGGCUCUUGAGUUCUCGAGGGAUUUCACCUGAUAGUUUGUUUCUUGAUAGGUCUAGUGACUCAAGCUCCGUAACAUUUUCCAAAGACCGAGGAAUAUGGCCUGUGAAGGCGUUGUUUGAUAAGUUAAGUGCAAUCAAUGUCUUCAAGAGGCCUAUAGAUUAAGGAAUCUGUCCUUCAAGUCUGUUUCCAGAAAAAUCAAUGGUGGCAUAAGAAGUAAGAACCUUCCCUUGCUCCAUGAAUAGACCUUUGUAUUGGAGAUCUAUGGUAUCUUCAUAUAGAUAUAGCCAGGAAUUUCGUUGUAGUCUCCCAUAUACAAACUCCCAUCUUCGGUCAUAACUUUCCAGUUCACAAAGUAAUCUUGGGGAAAGCUUCCUGUAAAUUUGUUAUCAGCUAUUUCAAGUAUGCGUAGCUCGGGAAACGCUAGAGGACCUUGACCAGGAGGGGAUAUAGGACCGUAGAAUCUGUUUGAACGGAGAGUAAAGGCUUGCAAAUUAGGCAAACCCUUGAGCCAGAAAGGAAACGUAUCUUUGAUGUUGUUGUUGUCCACACUUAGAAACUUUAGAGAGGAGCAUUUGAGCUGCACCUCUUCACAAAUUCCCUUCCCCUGUACUAUCAUUCCACCUCCGACCAUCACUCCGUAUCCUCGCGACGUUCCUCGAGUCAACCCUAGCCUCCUCACCAAGCUCUCCGAGAUGAAGUUGUGAGUGGCUCCGCUGUCGAUCAAGACUACCACCUCCUCUCCAUUGAUCGUCCCUCUUAGCUUGAUGGUAUGGGGAGCGGACAAUCCCACUACAGAAUUGACAGACAGCUCCGCUACCUCCGUUAUCUCUUCUUCCUCGUCCUCCCUGUGUUCCAUCUGCUCCUCACUGAUCUCGAUCUCGGUCCCAUUUUCAUGGACCACCAGAACCAUAAGUUCUUUGCGGGAGCAUACGUGUGGGUACACAUAUUUCUCGUCGCAUCGAAAGCAGAGAUCGUCCUUCUUCCUCUGAGCGUAUUCCUCCGGUGUGAGCCGGCGAUACGGGGGCUUCAGGCGGCCGUGAUUUGGAGUGGUUUUAUAUAAUUGAACUCUAAGCUACCGCAAUUUCCCAUUGGGGCUUUUCUUGUCAGCCGGCUACAGGAAGAUUCCUCCAUAAAGCAGAGUAGGAUGAACAUCUGCUACCAUACUGGUAAGACAAUGAAAUUAAGGAUCAGCUAUUAUCUAUAUCUUAGCUUUCAGGUUCCCCAUUAGAUAUACCUUCCGACAUAUCUCAGUGACUUUGCGGGAGAACCAUCUUUGGGAUACUUGCAUCUCUCUACAUACUUUGUGGUUGGACCAUCCCAGUUCUGAGCAUUUCCUUCAUUCACUGAGUAUAUGUUUCCCUUCUUUGGAAUCUGUUCCACAAGAAGAACUAAUGAAUCUUGAGAAAGAGAAAGAAUAUGUUUAUUAAUUGGUUCCCCGUUACCUUAAUGUCUGGGUGAGUUAAUAUGAACUCUCCUAGAGAUGGGUCCAGGGUAAAUCCGUUGACACCUGUUCCAGUGCUCAACACAAGCUGAGACAACCAAGUUAAUAAACUAAUCAGACUACUGAUAUUUAUUUUUGUGAAUUUUCAUUUUCAGUACCAUGCAGGAGCUUCCGUACAUACAGUAACCCGCUGCAACCAUUUCAUUCCCAGGUUUCAGAACAUCUUCAGUUGUCGGCUCAUCACUGUGCUCCAUUGUGUAAAUUCCAAAGAUCUACUUACACAUGGAAGACCAGUAAAUAAAUAAAAAAUUACAAACUUUCACAUCAGAUACUCUUUGGAAAAACUUGGGUGAAAGAGAGUAACAUACUGUUCCAAUGGAGACACCACAGUCAAUGUUUGAGGAUCCAUCAAGUGGAUCAAAAACAACACAGUACCUAUAUAUUUGACAGUAGGACUGUGUUUACCACUACAACAUACAUUUUCAUCCCCAAAACUGACAAAGAGAUCGAUUGAAAAUAACUUACUUUCCACGCUUGGAUGACUCCACAAACGUAGCUUCCUCAUCUUCUUCCGGGACAAGAACAGACUGCAGCCACAAGGUUUCAAUUACGAAUCCUUCUCAAGUUCAUAGAAAAGCUAUAUAUGUUUUAACUUACAGUUCUGCCGCUGCUAACCAAAGCCUUGACAAAAACAUCGUUAGAGAGCACAUUCAGUUUCUUUUGCUCUUCACCCUAUUACACAGAGACAAAAAAAAAAAAAAAAAAAAAAAAAAAAAAGGAUUAAUCUCCAAAAUAACACAUUUCUAAAUUUAUGUCACAAAAAUAGCCCUCAAAAACUAAAAUGACCAAAAUAGCAUUUUAUCUUUUGAAAAACUUAUUUGAAAUCUUAUCCCAAAACUCCAUUCCCCAACUAUGAACCCUAAAACCUAAACUCUAAACCCUAAACUCUAAACCCUAAAUCCUAAACCCCACCCCUUAACUCUAAACUCUAAACCCCACCCCUUAACUCUAAACUCUAAACCCUAAACCCUAAACCCUAAACCCUAAACCCUAAACCCUAAAUCCUAAACUCCACUCCUUAACUCUAAACCCUAA
rnacentral:lncRNA from 1 species